GGGGUUGUCAUGGUUUCGACAGGUUUAUGUUUGAUUCAGAUUGCAGUGGAUUGGUGACCUAAUCACCACUUAAAUUUAAACGCUAACAAUAGCAAUUUAGCUUUCGCUGCUUAAUUGAACGAAACGUUCGCAGCGCACCGAGUACCGUUUAGCCGUUAUCGUUACUCGCGUAUAUAAACGGAUAAGGAAAACCCAAAGCUUGUAGGGCUAUCCCGAAAAUUCACAAGCAAAUUCAAUAACCGCAUGUUUGUUGGCACAGUUAUUGUCUUAUCUAACAACAAACUAAACUGUAGAAGUCUGAAUGUGGGACUAUUCUUGGACACGGGUUCGACUCCCGUCAGCUCCACU
rnacentral:tmRNA from 1 species